GAUAGUGGAACAAGAUAUGCUACUCUCCCAUUUAUCUAGUGAGGAGGCUAGUAAUAUCAGCGCAAAAGUUGAUGACUAAAGAUAUGAUUCAAGUUCAUCGAGUUUGACUAAUCAGAGAAUUCAUAACUACAAAUUCAUCCACUCAACUUGGUGUCUUUUUAAAGAAGCUUUACUUAGAUUGCUAACUUAAUUUCACUUUGCUCAAUUCAUAAUCAAUGGUGCAAAUACAGGUGUCUUGGUAAUUAGUUGUAUCUAGUAAACUCUUUUAAAAGUCAAAUUUUGCAUUCAGCUCUAUGGAAACACUUCCGUUCCUCAAAAACACACUUACCACGCUUAGCACAACCUUGGACGUUUACCAUCCUUAAGCUCACAAUCAGUCCAGUUACAAUCGAAUUGAUUGGGAGGGAUCCAUAUAAUCAACAAUUUUACUCCAAAUGUAGAAUUCCUCUACCUCUAAAGUAAGAAAAAAAAGAGGUACUGUGCAUUUGAAUUCCUCGAAAAACAUGACAUUCUAGAUGAUUCUUCUUCUUCUUCUUUAGUUUAGAAGACAACAGCAUCAACUGUUCAGUUGGCCUUGAUGGACGGUUCAAUACCAUGUUAGACUCUUAAGGGAGAUCUACAAAGCAGAUGAACAUAGCGUAGAGAGUGAGAAAGAAGGUGGAUAUGCCCCUCAGAGUGAGUUCAGUUCCACAAUGAAGCAUUCAGAAAUUGGAACGACUUGCAGCAUUUCAUACUCAUCACCGGAGCCCUUCAAAUACAGAUUCUCUUUUACCAACAACAAAAGAAGAACCAUAAAUACUCGCAAACUUAGAGACAAGGGUAAUGCCUAGUCGCCGGCUACUACUUGUGAUUAGGGUUUCAGUUCUGUUUUUAAACAAAGGACGAGGAUGGGGGUUGGGGUUGGGGCCUUUAGGCUUUCCUCCGUAGGGCUGGCCCACAAGGCCCAAUUACCUUGAAAUUUGUAUAUUGAGGGUAGCCUCACAUACAUUACUGGUAUUACUCUCCAAUAGAAAUUAGAUUUCUUACAUCCAUAGAAGACUCGAGAAACAGAUCCC
rnacentral:lncRNA from 1 species